rnacentral:lncRNA from 1 species
GGAUCCUUUCACUCCCACCUUUACCCGGCGGCCACAGCCGUGAGUGAAUCCAGCGGAAGGACCUCGGGACGAUGCGGAGUCCUACAGGUGAGGUUCAGAUGGGCUUGGUCAAGUGGACCAACUACCAGCU